AACGAACGCUGGCGGCAUGCCUAACACAUGCAAGUCGAACGAGACCUUCGGGUCUAGUGGCGCACGGGUGCGUAACGCGUGGGAACCUGCCCUUAGGUUCGGAAUAACUCCCCGAAAGGGGUGCUAAUACCGGAUAAUGUCUUCGGACCAAAGAUUUAUCGCCUUUGGAUGGGCCCGCGUUGGAUUAGCUAGUUGGUAGGGUAAAAGCCUACCAAGGCGACGAUCCAUAGCUGGUCUGAGAGGCUGAUCAGCCACACUGGGACUGAGACACGGCCCAGACUCCUACGGGAGGCAGCAGUGGGGAAUAUUGGACCAUGGGCGAAAGCCUGAUCCAGCAAUGCCGCGUGAGUGAUGAAGGCCUUAGGGUUGUAAAGCUCUUUUACCCGGGAUGAUAAUGACAGUACCGGGAGAAUAAGCUCCGGCUAACUCCG
rnacentral:rRNA from 1 species